GAUUUUCGCAAUGCCCGAAAGGGUGACGAGGCGACGCCGCGUGCGGGAAGAAGGCCUUCGGGUUGUAAACCGCUGUCGGGAGUUAAGAAAUGUAAGGAUGUUAAUAGCAUCUUUGCUUGACUAAGGCUCCGGAGGAAGCCACGGCUAACUCUGUGCCAGCAGCCGCGGUAAUACAGAGGCGGCAAGCGUUGUUCGGAAUUAUUGGGCGUAAAGAGCACGUAGGCGGCUAUGUAAGUCGGUUGUGAAAGCCUUCCGCUCAACGGGAGAACAGCAUCCGAUACUGCAUGGCUUGAGUGCGGGAGGGGAGAGUGGAACUUCUGGUGGAGCGGUGAAAUGCGUAGAUAUCAGAAGGAACGCCGGCGGCGAAAGCGGCUCUCUGGCCCAUAACUGACGCUGAGUGUGCGAAAGCUAGGGGAGCUAACGGGAUUAGAUACCCCGGUAGUCCUAGCCGUAAACGAUGGGCACUAAGUAGAGGGGUUUUAAUC
rnacentral:rRNA from 1 species